rnacentral:tRNA from 1 species
AGGUCAGAAGCUGGACACCCGGUGCGGACUCAUAAUCCGUCAGGUCGUGGGUUCGAACCCCACCCGCCCCA